AGUAAACAUUCAUCUCCCUGACUCAGGCUGCUGCUUAGAAAUUCUGUUUCGGUUGCAGUUCCAUUGUGUGGAGCCAGUACUACAACUUUUCCUCCUGCAUUCAUUUCUCUUCCUGCUGCCUUGUGAAGAAGGUGCCUUGCUUCCCCUUCACCUUCUACGGUGAUUGCAAGUUGCCUGAGGAUUCCCCAGCCAUGUGAAACUUUCACAGAGUUUGAGAGAAACUGUAUUCAAGUUGCUGAAACCAAGAAGCUACACUCACGAGUCUCACCUAAACUCGAAUCUGAUUUAGAUGACAUCAUCCUGGACUUUGAGUUGAUGAAACCUUGGAGGUCUUGGGAGUAAAGCAAGUGUGAUUUGCAUAUGAUGGAUAUGAAUUGUAAUGGCCAGAGCAUGGCUGUGAGAUGAAAACUCCCAUUUUAGGGAACCAAGACUGAAUUCCAUAAUUUACAUGGAUGUUUGGAAGGUGUCUGCAACUUAAUCUGUGUUCGUUUCUGAGAUGUUGGGCAACUCCUUCUUGGAAGAUGUGGUAAUGGUCUCUUCGAAAAGAAAAUAAUCAUCUGAGUUUUGGCCAAAAUAGUUGAUCGGAUUACCUAUGAAAAUGACUCUCACCCAACUACAAGAAUGUUAUGAUGUAGAAACUCUAAAUAUAUGAGUAAUUAACUAUACAACACUCCAUCCCCAUGUGAAAAUCUUUAAUCUUUUAAGAUACUGAAAUUUUGUGUAUGUCUCAUAAUUUUCUGUAUAUGGUCAAUGAGUUUUGCCUUAGCCAUAAGUGGUCUGUCUGAAAUCUUCUCUAUUAUUUGUGCAUUUUCUUCCUGAUGUACCAAGCCUAGUCUGUUUGUUUUUUCCUAAGAGAAAAGCAGAUGAUUCAACUGUGUAUUUCUCAGUGUUGAUAUUGUGGUUUGAGGUAUUUCAUAAUCUUGAGUAAAAUCUUGUCAAUUUUAUGCUAUGCCUUGUGGGAACAUAUUUUUACUUUUAAGUCUCUUUGGCAAGUGGAGCUUCCUUUGUGUUUCCUCACCAAAUGUAUUCCCCAUUGUUUUCUGAUUAAUUCUUUUUCAGAAUGUUUACUCCUUCUUACCUCAAUGUCAUUACUUUUCAGUCUUGGCUUUGGGUAAACCUAGGACAAGAAUUGGAUAUCCAAAGCCAAUUUCAAUAUAAAAACUAUAAUAUCUAUCAAAAUCUAUGUAAAAUCCUGUGUAUAUUUCUCUUCUUUGUUGAACAGGGGCUUAUAAUCAUGUAGGUAAAUACACGUGGUUUUGAUUUCAGCACUGAUUACUGAAGAUUUGUCUUCCAUUCUUCUGGGCCAGGCCCAUACACAACCAUAGUUAGAAGUAAAAACUAUUUGUUAUACCUGGAAUGCCUUUCCUUUCAAUCUCUGAAUGUCUAAAAUUACUUUUUCUUUGAAGACCACCUCAGGUGACCCUACUGUGGGGAAAAUGCCUGAAUUAUCUUUGUAAUCCCAGCUCAGCCACUUAAAGAUUGUGUAAGUUUAGUGUCAGCAUAUUACUUAAGUUCUUUUAGAUUUAGUUUCCUCAUAUGUAAGCUGGGGAUAAUAAUACCUACCUCAUAGAAAAUGAAUGAGAAUCAAGUUAUAUAAUAUAUGAACAACACUUGACACUGUGUGUGAACACUCAAUACAUGUAAAUCAUUAUUAUUAGCAAAAUGAUUAUUAGGUUCUCAUGCUAAUCCACAAUUUUUAUUGGCAGAUAUCCAUUAGUUUAUAGUUAAUGUUAUUCAUAAUCUUUUCUUCAUAUUCAAAUAGGAAGAGAUGACUUCUCAAUCUAGUUAAUCCUGGAUGUGUAUUUCUCUUAAUUUAUUGAGUGUAAAAUGCUUAUUUAUAUACAUACAAUUUCCCUUAUUAGUGAACAUCUAGAAGGCAGAAUGGUACUUCAUUUCUUUCUGUAUGUUUAGCACCAAGGACAGUACCUGGCACAUAGAAGAUACAUAUUAAAAACAAAUAAAACAACUCUUAAUGGAUCUCAUUUUAAAAAAAUUCUCGGUUAAUUAUAAAGGCUCUAGUAAACCAAAUAAUUGUAUGUUAACUUAUUUACUUUUAUUACUGUGUUUAUUUUCUCCAACUGCUUCAUCAUACAAAGUAAACACCUGAAUGUAAGCUGCAUGAGGGCAAGAGCUGUGUCUUGUUUACUGCUCUCAAGAACAUUUGAGCAAAGUGCCUGGCACAUGGCAGACACUCAAUAAGUUACAAUUAAUACUCAAUGUAUGAACUGAUCUAUACUUAGAAUUGACUAAGAAGAAUAAGUCUUACACAGACUCAGUCUCUGAGAACUUGAAAAUCUAAGUUUGCAUAUCUCUGCUGUUGUGUUUUCAGGUUACUCAGUAGAAAACCAAGUUAUUUACACAUCCUCAAGUGUCUCAAGGUUAAAUCUUCCAUGCAUAAAAUAUCUGGGCGAUUGAUUGUGUUUCUUACUUUGCUCCUAAGUAUGUUAGCAUCAUAUAGGCAUAGCCUAAGCCAGACCAAAAUGAAUUCAUUGAUUGACUCAACAAAUGUUUAUGGAUCUCAGAUAUUAUAUGGAGAUGGUGUCAAACAACGGGAUGUGCUAUGGAAUUUGAUGUGGAGGCUGAAGGAAAGAGGAAUCUAGGCGGACUCACAGAUUUUUUGGCUUGAGUAACUUGGUGAGUAACUGAUAGUGCCACUUAAGAAGGAUGGAAGAAUGAAGGAGGAAGAGUUUUGUAGGGGAAAUUAAGUAUUUUAGCUUAAUCUUAAUCAUUUUGAGAUGCCUACUAAAUACAGAAAUAUUUAGGAUCCACUUUCAUCAUCUUCAUCCAUCCCUUGUACUUUUCCACUCCUAAUUUCCUAGACCUUCAUUCUAAGCAGUGCUCAGCACUUAAUGCUAUAGCUCUCUACACAGGAUGCUAUCUAAAAUAUAACAAUUCUUGCCGGGUGCAGUGGCUCAUGCCUGUAAUCCCAGCACUUUGGGAGGCCGAGGUGGGCAGAUCACCUGAGGUCAGAAGUUCGAGACCAGCCUGGCCAACAUGGUGAAACCCUGACUCUACUAAAAAUACAAAAAUUAGCAGGAUGUGGUGGUGCAUGCCUUUAAUCCCAGCUACUUUAGAGGCUGAGACAGGAGAAUGGCUUGAACUUGGGAGGCAGAGGUUGCAGUGAGCUGAGAUGGCACCACUGCACUCCAGCCUGGAUGACAGAGUGAGACUCUGUCUCAAAAAAAAAAAAAAAAAAAAAAAAAACUAAAAACAAUUGUGGUACACAGGCAGUACUCUGGUGCACACUAAGAUGUGGUUGUCUGAUUAACAGCUAAAUGCAUUGCUUUCCUUAAAAGCUUUGCUUUCUGUCAGAUAAUCCUAUGUUAACAUAAAGAAAAUAAGCCACCAUGGAGAACGUCCAGGCAACAGUACUCUGACAGCAUUAUUAUUGAAUAGUAGGCCCUCACACACUAUUUUCUAUACCCAUAUUUUUGGUAUAAAAUCCGUAGAACACACUUUAAAUGAAUUCUUAAGUUUGCUUUGUGGAGAUAGAAUAAAAGUAGAAAUAGCUACGUCAUUCAUUUUUUAAAAAUUUGAGUCUAUCACUUGUUUGUGUUUUAUCUGGUAUGUUGAUGCUCACUUUUUUACAUCACUGAUCUAGUUCAUAUUGAAAACAUAAAUAAUUAUGGAAGACAAGUUUCUUAUUUAAUUCUAUAAGAGUAAGUAGAAUGUAUGUAUAUGGUUGUGGGUGUGCAAGCACAUACAUAUAUUUGGUCUAUUUUUACAAUUAUCGAAAGUCAAAGUAAUCCAUGUGAUUGUGGUAUGACACCAAAAAUGACAACUCACUGUACUCUGUUCUAUUUUUAAAAAAUUUUUCUCCACUCAUUUCUUCUGUUCCCCCGUGCUCCUCACUCAAGUUUUGCAUUUUCCCCAAAGAAUGCAGGCAUCACUUUUUUUUUCCAUAACAAAAAUUUCAAAGUGAAACACAAGCUCUGGGUAAGUAACGAGAUAUUGAAUUCAAAAUUUCAACUGUGGCAACUGGAUCCAAUAGAUAUGAAAUAUCAAAGUAAAAUGCCAGGCAAAGAUGCAGAUUUUUAAGUUUAAGUUAUGGAGCUUCCUGAAUUUUUAUCUAAGUGUAGAGAUGGAGAUAAGGCUUGCGGAGAGAGGUAAAACAUGCAUUUGUGAUUUUAUGUCACAAAUUUCAGCUUAUGCAAUUAAUUGGUUACAGAACCUGUGGUAGAAUUUAGAAAGACACAUGCAUAUGUAUGUUUAUUGUAGCACUAUUCACAAUAGCAAAGACUCAGAACCAACCAAAAUGCCCAUCAAUGUUAGACUGGAUGAAGAAAAUAUGGCACAUAUACACCAUGGAGUACUAUGCAGCCAUAAGAAACAAUGAGUUCAUGCCCUUUGCAGGGACAUGGAUGAAGCUGGAAACCAUCAUUCUCAGCAAACUAACACAGGAACAGAAGACCAAACACUGCAUGUUCUCACUCAUAAGUGGGAGUUGAACAGUGAGAACAUACGGGCACAGGGAGGGGAACAUCAUAUACCGGGGUCUGUCAGUGUGUGGGUAGCAAGGAGAGGGAUAGCAUUAGGAGAAAUACCUAAUGUAGAUGACAGGUUAACGGGUGCAGCAAACCACCACGGCACUUGUAUACCUAUGUAACAAACCUGCACGUUCUGCACAUGUACCCCAGAACUUAAAGUAUAAUUUUAAAAAAAAUCUUCUCAUGGGCCUCAGCUAUGUUUAUGUAAGCAGCAUGUUUAUCAGCAUCUUGCUCCUUGACUGCAAUCUCAGACUGCAGGAGGUAUCUAGACAUAACUUGAAUAGAAAAACAAUGUUCAGUUUUUCAUCAUUCAUUCAAGAAACACUUGUGGAUAAUCUAAUGCAUGUUCACAACAUAUGAGGUUAGAACCACUGCUUUUAGUUUUAACAGAAUAACUGAAACUCUGACUCAAAUUUUAGCUGUACAUUUAGAAGCAAAUCCAAUGAUAAAAUCAUCUUUCAACCUUUUGAUUUGCUUGUAUUAAUUCAUGCUAGCAUUACACUACAGGACACAGAACAUCUUUAUAAAGCGCUACACGUGUAGAUUAUUUUCGAAAACAGUAUUUUUCAUCCCAAACAAUACUUUUCUCCCCAAACAAACUUAUCUGACCCUGUCAUUUUUUAUGGGUUAUUCUAAAGUACUAUUUUAUUAAAAGUGUCAACCCCUGUCCUCUAUAAUCUAUUUUCAGUUGCUACAUUUAUUAGUAAUCAAAUUAAUAAAGAAACUCUCCUUAGAAAACAUGAUACGGUCUUCCAUUUUAGCCUUGGGAAAAAUCUCAAGAAAUCUAGUUUAAAAGAUAUGUGUAAAAGAGCCUGGGAAUAUUCUACUUCUUUUAGCUAACCACCUGAUUUCACCAGGCCUCUUAUUUCUUGAUGGACUAGUCAUGCAUUGUGGUAGCUGGUGGUGGCAAUGAUGCUGGGAUGAAUAUGUCUUGCAGGACAUUAUGGUGAGUUAUUGAACGGAAGUCUAGGGAUUGUUCAACCCCUGAAAACAGACCACAUCCCAUUGCAGGAGGAAAUUUGGGUAAGGUUCUGCCUUUUCUCAUAAAAUCAGACUCUGAUCUAAUUUCUUUCACAAUUAAGCUUACCUAAAAUAUGUUCACACUGAAAGUUAAUGCAUUUUUGUCUGUCAGCAUUUGGUGUUGCCUUGGUGACAGUGUACAGACCAAUUGUUAAGAGCUUUUUUUGAAGCAACUUUGCCAGUUCUUUCAUCGUAGUGCAUAUGCAGCAUUAUAUGUUCAUUGUUAUUUGCUUCAUUUUCUACAACUGGAAAGAAUGUAUUUUGAAGCAGCAUAAGAGAGUAUAUUUGAAGAUUCCUCUUGUACUUUGAUAUAGUCAUUAAGAAAGCUUUUAAAGGAGUAAUACUUGGCAUUCGAAAUGUGAAACCAAAAGACUUCAAAUGGCAUUCGA
rnacentral:lncRNA from 1 species